UUCUUCACUCUGAAAAAUUAACUUUUGUUGGUUGCACGUCAAGUAACAAAGGUAAUACUUUUUUGUUGCUUCAUUGGCAUGGUUAGUUUUACAUCAUUUACUAAGUUGAAAGCAGUUGAGAUGUAUGCCUUAAUAUCUGUUGUUUUGUUGCGUGUUGCUAUUCCUUGAGGCCACUCCAAGAUGAUCGUUAUUUCUUAUGCAGACAAAUAAUUGCUGUAACAUGAUUACAUUUACUGAUUGGCGUAGCUGUACUUUUGGAUGGCAGUGUUCAUAGCUUAGUGGCAGUGUUUUAGAUGUCUUUUUUUCCUGUAUCCUAUUGGUGCCUUUGGAAAUUAAGAAUUACUUUCUUUUUAGGAUUCUUGCCGGAGGAGACGAACUUUUAUGGAUUCUUGCUGGAGGAGAUGAACUUUUAUGGUGUGUUUUUUCCCCUGUAUGCGUCGCUUCAGAUCAGGCUGAUGCUGUUGUUAUUAUGGAUGAGCUGUUGAAGGCCAAGGUUUUCCUUGUGAGAAUGCCAUAGGUACAAGAAAAGAUUGCCUGAAAGGUCUUUAUGGUUUAUUCUGCAAGGUUAGAGGCCUGCUGAGGCUAGCGUGAGGUCUGCUAUGGCAUCGAUGAUCUGGGUGUCAUGACUGUGAGGACUGCUCGCGCCUCUCCGCUCACAAACCGUGUGACAGAGUAAAUACUCUGGUCCACAACAAUUAGACCUUCCUCCCUCUCAGCUAUGGUAUUGCAGCACAACAAUCUCCUUCCACCUUCAUUUGUUGGGCUAGAGCGUUAGAAGACAUUCUAAUUUUCUAGCUAUAUUUUGCAAUGUUAGACUGGUCAAAUGUGUUUGUAUAUGGUCGCAGUGGCGUGAGCUUUUUCAUUACUUGAUCUGUUUAUUCAAACUCAAUUUUUCUGUUGUUGUGGAGAGGAGGAUCAUCUGCUCUUUCAUACAUAUUUAUUACCUUCACUAU